UGAUUCAGCUCGAUCAACAAAGAAGUACCUCGUGAUAAGAUACAUGGUCGUGCUCCACGGGGUCCUACAUGGAAAUCACCUAUGUUCCCACAACAAGAUAAUGGAGUUGAUUGUGGAUUAUACGUGAUGAGAUUCAUGCUUGACAUAGCGACUCAUUGUACCAACACCAUACAUCUUGAUGAGGUACGACCUUAAACUU